AGACAGUUGAGAAAGUGAAGGUCCGCCAUUUUUUCCUCGCUUGCUCACGGAACAUUUUUGGAUCCUGUAAUUGCAAGGCCUUUAUGUGACAGUGCAAAGAGCGCAAGACCGGAGUGUCAUCAAGGUCUCAUUUAUUAAAGUAUUACAGAAUGUCAGAACUCGACAUCAUCUGCUCCAGGAGGUCUGCUGUGUGUGCGUUGGAAGGGAGGAGAUCAUGGCUGCCAUUGACCAGAAUCAUACCAUUGGCUUGUUGAGAGCUUGCAACCUGAAAGCACUUGUGUACUUAAAUGAAGGUUUUGAGAAACUCAUAAAGAAAUACUUGGACCAAGGAUGCAGAGGACAAGAAGGGUGUGC